CAGACAUGACGGGCCUCACUCAUCUCCUUGGUUUACUGAUGAUCUUCCUUACAGGUGCCAAAUGUGACAUCCAGAUGACCCAGUCUCCAUCCUCUCUGUCUGCAUCUCUGGGGGACAGUGUCACCAUCACAUGCCAAUCAAGUCAGGACAUCUACAGUUAUUUAGCAUGGUAUCAGCAGGAACCAGGGAAACGUCCUAAGCUCCUGAUCUAUGGUGCAACCAGCUUGGCAAAUGGGGUCCCAUCGAGGUUCAGUGGCAGUGGAUCUGGCACACAGUAUUCUCUAAAGAUCAGCAGCCUGCAGCCUGAAGAUAUUGCAACUUAUUACUGUCAGCAGGGUUGGAGUACCCCUCCCACAGUGAUCCAAGCCAUGACAUAAACCACCCAGGG